rnacentral:rRNA from 1 species
UACAGAGGUCCCGAGCGUGUUCGGAUUCACUGGGCGUAAAGGGUGCGUAGGUGGCGCCGUAAGUGGGGUGUGAAAUCCCGGGGCUUAACCCCGGGACUGCAUUCCAUACUGCGGUGCUUGAGGACUGGAGAGGAGACUGGAAUUUACGGCGUAGCAGUGAAAUGCGUAGAGAUCGUAAGGAAGACCAGUGGCGAAGGCGGGUCUCUGGACAGUUCCUGACACUGAGGCACGAAGGCCAGGGGAGCAAACGGG